UUUUAUGGAGAGUUUGAUCCUGGCUCAGGAUGAACGCUGGCGGCGUGCCUAAUACAUGCAAGUCGAGCGAACAGACAAGGAGCUUGCUCCUUUGACGUUAGCGGCGGACGGGUGAGUAACACGUGGGUAACCUACCUAUAAGACUGGGAUAACUUCGGGAAACCGGAGCUAAUACCGGAUAAUAUUUCG
rnacentral:rRNA from 1 species